rnacentral:rRNA from 1 species
GACGAACGCUGGCGGCGGGCUUAACACAUGCAAGUCGAACGGAAAGGCCCUGCUUUUGUGGGGUGCUCGAGUGGCGAACGGGUGAGUAACACGUGAGUAACCUGCCCUUGACUUUGGGAUAACUUCAGGAAACUGGGGCUAAUACCGGAUAGGAGCUCCUGCUGCAUGGAGGGGGGUGGAAAGUUUCGGCGGUUGGGGAUGGACUCGCGGCUUAUCAGCUUGUUGGUGGGGUAGUGGCUUACCAAGGCUUUGACGGGUAGCCGGCCUGAGAGGGUGACCGGCCACCUUGCGCCUGAGAUACGGCCCAGACUCCUACGGGAGGCAGCAGUGGGGAAUAUUGCACAAUGGGCGGAAGCCUGAUGCAGCAACGCCGCGUGCGGGAUGACGGCCUUCGGGUUGUAAACCGCUUUCGCCUGUGACGAAGCGUGAGUGACGGUAAUGGGUAAAGAAGCACCGGCUAACUACGUG